rnacentral:misc_RNA from 1 species
CAAUUUUGGUACGUCGAGUCGCCCUCCGGGGCGGCUUCGGUGUUGCCAAUCGAGAUACCAACCCAUGUCUUUUGAGCACCUCACGUUUCCUCGGCAGGCUCGCCUGCCAAUGGGGACCACUUUAAAACCUUUUGUGUAUGCAGUAAACGUUUACAAUUUAAUUGAAUCA